AUUGAACGCUGGCGGCAGGCCUAACACAUGCAAGUCGAACGGUAACAGGAAGCAGCUUGCUGCCUUGCUGACGAGUGGCGGACGGGUGAGUAAUGUCUGGGAAACUGCCUGAUGGAGGGGGAUAACUACUGGAAACGGUAGCUAAUACCGCAUAACGUCGCAAGACCAAAGAGGGGGACCUUCGGGCCUCUUGCCAUCGGAUGUGCCCAGAUGGGAUUAGCUAGUCGGUGGGGUAACGGCUCACCUAGGCGACGAUCCCUAGCUGGUCUGAGAGGAUGACCAGCCACACUGGAACUGAGCCACGGUCCAGACUCCUACGGGAGGCAGCAGUGGGGAAGAUUGCACAGUUGGAGCAAGCCUGAUGCAGCCAUGCCGCGUGUAUGAAGAAGGCCUUCGGGUUGUAAAGGACUUUCAGCGGGGAGGAAGGGAGUAAAGUUAAUACCUUCGCUCAUUGACGUUACCCGCAGAAGAAGCACCGGCUAACUCCGUG
rnacentral:rRNA from 1 species